UACGUAGGGUGCAAGCGUUGUCCGGAAUUAUUGGGCGUAAAGACCUCGUAGGCGGUUUGUCGCGUCUGCUGUGAAAACUCGGGGCUUAACUCCGGGCCUGCAGUGGGUACGGGCAGACUAGAGUGCGGUAGGGGAGACUGGAAUUCCUGGUGUAGCGGUGAAAUGCGCAGAUAUCAGGAGGAACACCGGUGGCGAAGGCGGGUCUCUGGGCCGUAACUGACGCUGAGGAGCGAAAGCAUGGGGAGCGAACAGG
rnacentral:rRNA from 1 species